rnacentral:rRNA from 1 species
AACGCGAAGAACCUUACCUAGCCUUGACAUUGAUUGAAUUUUCCAGAGAUGGAGAAGUGCCUUUCGGGGAACAUGAAAACAGGUGCUGCACGGCUGUCGUCAGCUCGUGUCGUGAGAUGUCGGGUUAAGUCCCGCAACGAGCGCAACCCUCGUCCUUAGUUGCCAGCAGGUUAAGCUGGGCACUUUAAGGAGACUGCCUUCGCAAGGAGGAGGAAGGUGAGGACGACGUCAAGUCAUCAUGGCCCUUAUGGCUAGGGCUACACACGUGCUACAAUGGGGCGUACAGAGAGUUGCGAUACCGCGAGGUGGAGCCAAUCUCACAAAGCGUCUCUCAGUCCGGAUUGAAGUCUGCAACUCGACUUCAUGAAGCUGGAAUCACUAGUAA